CUCGCUUAGGGUGCGAGAGGUCCCGAGUUCAAUUCUCGAAAUGCCCCAAAUUCAAUUUUUCAUCUCUUUUAAUUUAUUAAAAGAAAAUAAAUCAAUUUAGUUCAAAAAUAAUAUUUUCUCCACAAUUUACACCAAAAAAAAUGUUUCAAAAUGCAAAAAAAAAAACUAAAACAAUCUAACAAGUCUAGGUAAAGAGGUCACACACAUAUCAUUCUUCUAAUUUGCACAAUAUGGUUAAAUUUGAUGUGUCACUUCCUUUGAGUCAUUCUUCUAAUUCUAUAGACUAAGGUUGGGAAUUGUGGUCAUUUUCCACCUCUUGGUUGACC
rnacentral:lncRNA from 1 species